rnacentral:misc_RNA from 1 species
GUCAUUAACCAACUUCCCCAAAAUCAAAAUUGUAAUCUAUUCUCAUAAUCCUAUUAACGGGGCCACAAAAUAAACGCCAAAUGCUUUAUUUCACUGUUUCAUUACACAGUUUUACACUCAAAACUAAAGAAGAAAACCCAAAGAAAGAAGGUAGUAUAUCUAUCUUCUGCUCAGUAUUGCAUUUUUCUAUUCUUAUAUAUGAUCUUGAUGCUGAGGUUGAUCCACGUCCUCUCCAUUUCCAGAUGCUUCAUCCCUGGAUUGCUCUGAGUUUCUGUUGUUGGGCUCUGUGCCAUUAACCACAGUCUGCUGUUUCUCCAUCAUCCCAGACAGCGCUAAUCUUGGAGACCACUCAAGAACAUCAUCAAUGAUGUUUGACAUCCGUUUUUGAUACCUAGCUCUAGCAGCCUCAUCAGGGGCAUGAUGUCUCAACAGUAAUAUGACCAGCACAGCUACCACUGCAUAGAAAAGCCUUGCAGUCCACUUAGGUCGUUCCUCCUCAUCUUUCUUUGGCCAGAAACGGAAUAAUUCUCGCAAAGUAGCCUCUUCAGCAAGGAUGUUGGGGAAAAACCAAACACGCUUUCCAAGAAUGAUAUAUAGAGUACCAAAUAUUGUAGCCCUCAUUAAAAGCAGGGAGAGAAUAAGUAAAAGGACCCCAGCACAUGAGUAGAGAAUCAGUAGCUUGCACCGAUGGGGAUAUACAGGA